UCCUUAGAUGUUCUGGGCCGCACGCGCGCUACACUGACGAAUGCAACGAGCUUAUAACCUUGGCCGAAAGGUUUGGGUAAUCUCCAAAUUUCGUCGUGAUGGGGAUAGAUUAUUGCAAUUAUUAAUCUUCAACGAGGAAUGCCUAGUAAGCGCAAGUCAUCAGCUUGCGUUGAUUACGUCCCUGCCCUUUGUACACACCGCCCGUCGCUCCUACCGAUUGAAUGGUCCGGUGAAGCGUUCGGACCGUGGCCUUUGGACGGUUCGCCGUCUGUUGGCUGCGGGAAGUUCGUUAAACCUUAUCAUUUAGAGGAAGGAGAAGUCGUAACA
rnacentral:rRNA from 1 species